rnacentral:rRNA from 1 species
AUUGCACGCUGGCGGCAGGCUUAACACCUGCAAGUCGAGCGAGCGGCGGACGGGUGAGUAAUGUCUGGGAAACUGCCUGAUGGAGGGGGAUAACUACUGGAACCGGUAGCUAAUACCGCAUACCAUCAGAUGUGCCCAGAUGGUAUUAGCUAGUAGGUGGGGGACUUGCUCACCUAGGCGACGAUCCCUAGCUGGUCUGAGAGGAUGACCAGCCACACUGGAACGGAGACACGGGCCAGAAUCCUACGGGAGGCAGCAGUGGGGAAUAUUGCACAAUGGGUGCAAGCCGGAUGAAGCCAUGCGGCGUGUGUUAAGAAGGCCUUCGGGUUGUAAAGCACUUUCAGCGAGGAGGCGUUACUCGCAGAAGAAGCAUAGGCUAAAUCCGUGACAGCAGCCGCGGUAAUUC